rnacentral:misc_RNA from 1 species
AACGCAUAUUGCGCCCUUUGGUAUUCCGAAGGGCAUGCCUGUUCGAGCGUCAUUAUAACCACUCAAGCCUUCGCUUGGUAUUGAGGCUCGCGACCCCGCGGCCCCUAAACUCAGUGGCGGUGCCUGUCGGCUCUACGCGUAGUAAUACUCCUCGCGUCUGGGUCCGGUAGGUUGCCUGCCAGCAACCCCCAAUUUUUUACAGGUUGACCUCGGAUCAGGUAGGGAUACCCGCUGAACUUAA